CCUACGGGUGGCAGCAGUCGAGAAUCAUUCACAAUGGGGGAAACCCUGAUGGUGCGACGCCGCGUGGGGGAAUGAAGGUCUUCGGAUUGUAAACCCCUGUCAUGUGGGAGCAAAUUAAAAAGAUAGUACCACAAGAGGAAGAGACGGCUAACUCUGUGCCAGCAGCCGCGGUAAUACAGAGGUCUCAAGCGUUGUUCGGAAUCACUGGGCGUAAGGCGUGCGUAGGCUGUUUCGUAAGUCGUGUGUGAAAGGCGCGGGCUCAACCCGCGGACGGAACAUGAUACUGGGAGACUAGAGUAAUGGAGGGGGAACCGGAAUUCUCGGUGUAGCAGUGAAAUGCGUAGAUAUCGAGAGGAACACUCGUGGCGAAGGCGGGUUCCUGGACAUUAACUGACGCUGAGGCACGAAGGCCAGGGGAGCGAAAGGGAUUAGAUACCCCAGUAGUC
rnacentral:rRNA from 1 species